rnacentral:rRNA from 1 species
GACGAACGCUGGCGGCGUGCUUAACACAUGCAAGUCGAACGGAAAGGCCCUGCUUUUGUGGGGUGCUCGAGUGGCGAACGGGUGAGUAACACGUGAGUAACCUGCCCUUGACUUUGGGAUAACUUCAGGAAACUGGGGCUAAUACCGGAUAGGAGCUCCUGCUGCAUGGUGGGGGUUGGAAAGUUUCGGCGGUUGGGGAUGGACUCGCGGCUUAUCAGCUUGUUGGUGGGGUAGUGGCUUACCAAGGCUUUGACGGGUAGCCGGCCUGAGAGGGUGACCGGCCACAUUGGGACUGAGGUACGGCCCAGACUCCUACGGGAGGCAGCAGUGGGGAAUAUUGCACAAUGGGCGGAAGCCUGAUGCAGCAACGCCGCGUGCGGGAUGACGGCCUUCGGGUUGUAAACCGCUUUCGCCUGUGACGAAGCGUGAGUGACGGUAAUGGGUAAAGAAGCACCGGCUAACUACGUGCCAGCAGCCGCGGUGAUACGUAGGGUGCGAGCGUUGUCCGGAUUUAUUGGGCGUAAAGGGCUCGUAGGUGGUUGAUCGCGUCGGAAGUGUAAUCUUGGGGCUUAACCCUGAGCGUGCUUUCGAUACGGGUUGACUUGAGGAAGGUAGGGGAGAAUGGAAUUCCUGGUGGAGCGGUGGAAUGCGCAGAUAUCAGGAGGAACACCAGUGGCGAAGGCGGUUCUCUGGGCCUUUCCUGACGCUGAGGAGCGAAAGCGUGGGGAGCGAACAGGCUUAGAUACCCUGGUAGUCCACGCUGUAAACGGUGGGUACUAGGUGUGGGGUCCAUUCCACGGGUUCCGUGCCGUAGCUAACGCUUUAAGUACCCCGCCUGGGGAGUACGGCCGCAAGGCUAAAACUCAAAGGAAUUGACGGGGCCCCGCACAAGCGGCGGAGCAUGCGGAUUAAUUCGAUGCAACGCGUAGAACCUUACCUGGGUUUGACAUGGAUCGGGAGUGCUCAGAGAUGGGUGUGCCUCUUUUGGGGUCGGUUCACAGGUGGAGCAUGCCUGUCGUCAGCUCGUGUCGUGAGAUGUUGGGUUAAGUCCCGCAACGAGCGCAACCCUUGUUCACUGUUGCCAGCACGUUAUGGUGGGGACUCAGUGGAGACCGCCGGGGUCAACUCGGAGGAAGGUGGGGAUGACGUCAAGUCAUCAUGCCCCUUAUGUCCAGGGCUUCACGCAUGCUACAAUGGCUGGUACAGAGAGUGGCGAGCCUGUGAGGGUGAGCGAAUCUCGGANAGCCGGUCUCAGUUCGGAUUGGGGUCUGCAACUCGACCUCAUGAAGUCGGAGUCGCUAGUAAUCGCAGAUCAGCAACGCUGCGGGGAAUGCGUUCCC